UGGGGAAUAUUGGACAAUGGGCGAAAGCCUGAUCCAGCCAUGCCGCGUGUGUGAGAAGGUCUUCGGAUUGUAAAGCACUUUAAGUUGGGAGGAAGGGCAGUUACCUAAUACGUGAUUGUUUUGACGUUACCGACAGAAUAAGCACCGGCUAACUCUGUGCCAGCAGCCGCGGUAAUACAGAGGGUGCAAGCGUUAAUCGGAAUUACUGGGCGUAAAGCGCGCGUAGGUGGUUAGUUAAGUUGGAUGUGAAAUCCCCGGGCUCAACCUGGGAACUGCAUUCAAAACUGACUGACUAGAGUAUGGUAGAGGGUGGUGGAAUUUCCUGUGUAGCGGUGAAAUGCGUAGAUAUAGGAAGGAACACCAGUGGCGAAGGCGACCACCUGGACUGAUACUGACACUGAGGUGCGAAAGCGUGGGGAGCAAACAGGAUUAGAUACCCCCGUAGUCCCUGAGCGGGCUGGCAAGGCGCAU
rnacentral:rRNA from 1 species